rnacentral:rRNA from 1 species
UACGAAGGUCCCGAGCGUUGUUCGGAAUCACUGGGCGUAAAGGGAGCGUAGGCGGCGUGGUAAGUCAGAUGUGAAAUCCCGGGGCUCAACCCCGGAACUGCAUCCGAUACUGCCGUGCUUGAGGGUUGGAGAGGUAGCUGGAAUUAUCGGUGUAGCAGUGAAAUGCGUGGAUAUCGAUAGGAACACUCGUGGCGAAGGCGAGCUGCUGGACAACAUCUGACGCUGAGGCUCGAAGGCCAGGGGAGCAAAAGGG